rnacentral:rRNA from 1 species
GACGAACGCUGGCGGCGUGCUUAACACAUGCAAGUCGAACGAAGUGGCGAACGGGUGAGUAACGCGUAAUCAACCUGCCCUUCAGAGGGGGACAACAGUUGGAAACGACUGCUAAUACCGCAUACUGAAGGAGGGGAUUGCGUCUGAUUAGCUAGUUGGAGGGGUAACGGCCCACCAGGGCGAUGAUCAGUAGCCGGUCUGAGAGGAUGAAUGGCAAGAUUGGGACUGAGACACGGCCCAGACUCAUACGGGAGGCAGCAGUGGGGAAUCUGCCGAAAUGGACGAAAGUCUGACGGAGCAACGCCGCGUGAGGGAUGACGGCCUUCGGGUUGUAAAGCUCUGUUAAUCGGGACGCGGUACCGGAAUAGAAAGCCACGGCUAACUACGUGCCAGCAGCCGCGGUAAUUC